AUUGAACGCUGGCGGCAGGCCUAACACAUGCAAGUCGAGCGGAUGAAGGGAGCUUGCUCCUGGAUUCAGCGGCGGACGGGUGAGUAAUGCCUAGGAAUCUGCCAGUAGUGGGGGAUAACGUCCGGAAACGGGCGCUAAUACCGCAUACGUCCUGAGGGAGAAAGUGGGGGAUCUUCGGACCUCACGCUAUCAGAUGAGCCUAGGUCGGAUUAGCUAGUUGGUGGGGUAAAGGCCUACCAAGGCGACGAUCCGUAACUGGUCUGAGAGGAUGAUCAGUCACACUGGAACUGAGACACGGUCCAGACUCCUACGGGAGGCAGCAGUGGGGAAUAUUGGACAAUGGGCGAAAGCCUGAUCCAGCCAUGCCGCGUGUGUGAAGAAGGUCUUCGGAUUGUAAAGCACUUUAAGUUGGGAGGAAGGGCAGUAAGUUAAUACCUUGCUGUUUUGACGUUACCAACAGAAUAAGCACCGGCUAACUUCGUG
rnacentral:rRNA from 1 species